AUUGAACGCUGGCGGCAUGCCUUACACAUGCAAGUCGAAUGGUAACAGGUCUUCGGAUGCUGACGAGUGGCGAACGGGUGAGUAAUACAUCGGAACGUGCCCGAUCGUGGGGGAUAACGAAGCGAAAGCUUUGCUAAUACCGCAUACGAUCUACGGAUGAAAGCAGGGGACCGCAAGGCCUUGCGCGAACGGAGCGGCCGAUGGCAGAUUAGGUAGUUGGUGGGAUAAAAGCUUACCUAGCCGACGAUCUGUAGCUGGUCUGAGAGGACGACCAGCCACACUGGGACUGAGACACGGCCCAGACUCCUACGGGAGGCAGCAGUGGGGAAUUUUGGACAAUGGGCGAAAGCCUGAUCCAGUCAUGCCGCGUGCAGGAUGAAGGCCUUCGGGUUGUAAACUGCUUUUGUACGGAACGAAAAGACUCUGGUUAAUACCUGGGGUCCAUGACGGUACCGUAAGAAUAAGCACCGGCUAACUACGUG
rnacentral:rRNA from 1 species